GAAAUCUAAAAUGUGGGAUGUCUGAUGAGGGAAAAAAUCGUCUCUUAGGGGUCGUUUGGUUUGAGGUUGUAAUGACCCUACUGCUAGUGGGAAACAAAUACUAGUGGAAAACUAGUGUUAGUGGAAGGUAUUCUUUAAAAUAAAAUAAUUACUACAAGAGAUCAUGAUAAGGUUUAUUUAUUUAAUUGAAAUUGGACUCAGAAAGUUAUUAGGAAGAAAGAUAUAAGAGAUCUAUACCUACAGUUUUCAUGUUACGGUUCUAUUUCUUCUUCUCUUUCUUUUCUUCUCACUGCUGCAACAUACAUUGAGAUUCUAACUAUUUGGAAGCGUUACGUAAGGACAGGUUUGUUGAUUGACACUUGGCUUCGAUUUGAGGUACAGAUCCGACGACCUCUGGAUAUUGAUCCCUUCUUUCUUUGCUAGCAUCAUCAGAGAUUUGAGAACGAAGGCUGGAAAAAGAAUGGGCAGAUGCAUGAUCCUGACGAAAGCAUUGUGUGCUUGGAAUCUCAUCUAAUGUCAAUUCAUUUGAGUAAUUUCAAAGGUGAAGAAAACGAGAUAGAGCUACUAAGGUUCUUUCUGAAGAAUGCCCAGAUAUUGGAAAAACUAACGAUUCAGUGGGCCAAAAAUGCUUUCUGGGAGGAGUAUGUUCUUAAACCUGAAGUGGGAUCAUUGGAGGACGAAUAUGCUUACUUGGCCGAAUAUGCUGAUAAAACAAAAAAGAGGUGUCAGAGAAGGUUUUGAAACUUCCUAAAACUUCUUCAAAGGUUAUUCUGACAUUUCCCGAUGCCAAGUCCGAACCAAGUUCUUGUAACUGGUACGAUAGAUAUUCAAAAUGACUCGACCUUGGAGAUGAUUGUUUGAUCGUUGGAUAUACUCUUAUUGGUAUUUCUCUUGAAGAUCCAAGUCGGAACCAAACCGUAUAAGAAUUACCCCGAUCCUUGAUUUUUAUGAAACUGCUAUAGUUGUAUCAUGUUUCAUGUUUGUACUGGAAAGUAUGAAGCAGGAUGUGGUUAACUUCCAUUUACAAAUGCCAAAGCAGCAAUUUUGGUGCUUCAGGACAUUGAAAUCAAUAUGGACUUCUUCCUAACAUCUAAAGUGAAUGUAUUGGUUUGGGUCA